rnacentral:rRNA from 1 species
GUAAAUAAUUAAGGGCGUAUGGUGGAUGCCUAGGCUCUCAGAGGCGAAGAAGGACGUGAUAAGCUGCGAAAAGCUCCGUUUAGGUGCAAAUAACCUUUGAUGCGGAGAUCUCCGAAUGGGAUAACCCAAUAUGUUGAAGACAUAUUAUACCGUAAGGUAGGCAAACGCAGGGAACUGAAACAUCUAAGUACCUGCAGGAGAAGAAAACAAAAGUGAUUCCCCCAGUAGCGGCGAGCGACCGGGGAUAAGCCCAAACCGUUAUUGUUUCGGCAGUAGCGGGGUAGUAGGACUGCGACAUUGAUGAAAUAAAUGAAAUGGAACACCUUGGAAAAUGUGAUCACAGAGGGUGAUAAUCCCGUACAUGCAAGUUUAUGAAUCAUAGCAGACUCCUGAGUAAGUCGGGACACGUGUAAUCCUGACCGAAUCCGCCGGGACCAUCCGGCAAGGCUAAAUACUCCUGAGAGACCGAUAGUGAACCAGUACCGUGAGGGAAAGGUGAAAAGCACUUCGAACAGAAGAGUGAAAUAGUCCCUGAACCCAUACGCCUACAAGCUGUCGGAGCCGCUUCGUGCGGUGACGGCGUGCCUUUUGCAUAAUGAGCCUACGAGUUACUCAUCACCAGCGAGGUUAAGUACUUCAGGUACGUAAGCCGAAGCGAAAGCGAGUCUGAAUAGGGCGUCAAGUUGGUGGUGGUAGACGCGAAACCUUAGUGAUCUACCCAUGGGCAGGGUGAAGGUUUGGUAACACAAACUGGAGGCCCGAACCGGUAAACGUUGAAAAGUUUUCGGAUGACCUGUGGGUAGGGGUGAAAGGCCAAUCAAACUGGGAAAUAGCUCGUACUCUCCGAAAUGCAUUUAGGUGCAGCCUCUGUUGUUUUGUUCUAGAGGUAGAGCUACUGAUUGGAUGCGAGGGCUUCACCGCCUAUCAAAUCCGGCCAAACUCCGAAUGCUAGAACAUGAAGACAGGGAGUGAGCCAGCGGGUGCUAAGGUCCGUUGACGAAAGAGGGAGAACUCAGACCAUCAGCUAAGGUCCCCAAUUAUAUGCUAAGUUGGAAUUAAAACGGGGUGGGACUGCUUAGACAGCUAGGAUGUUGGCUUGGAAGCAGCCAUUCAUUUAAAGAGUGCGUAACAGCUCACUAGUCGAGCGGUCCUGCAUGGAUAAUACGCGGGCAUAAGCAUAUAACCGAAGCUAUGGGAUUGUAGAUGAUACAAUCGGUAGGAGAGCAUUCCAUUCAGCGUAGAAGCAGUAUCGUGAGGUAUUGUGGAGCGGAUGGAAAAGCAAAUGUAGGCAUAAGUAACGAUAAUGCGGGUGAGAACCCCGCACGCCGAAAGAUCAAGGAUUCCCCGGCAAUGUCAAUCAUCCGGGGGUAAGUCGGAUCCUAAGGGUAAGCCGAGUGGCGAUCCCGAUGGCAAACAGGUUAAUAUUCCUGUACUGAUCAUAACUGCGAUGCAGCGACGCAGAGGUGACACUGCUGCGUACUGACGGAAUAGUACGUUGAAACCCGUAUUCUUUGAUACCGGUAGUGAAGCACGCCGGUAGAGAUGAAAGGUGAUAGUACCGCAAUGCUUCGGUUGCGCGGAUAACGCAGGUAAGCUGACUGCCAAGAAAACCUGCUAAGCUUCAGGUAAUGAUCAUCCGUACUGUAAACGGACACACGUGAUCAGGUAGAAAAUACUAAGGCGCUCGAGAGAUUCAUGGUUAAGGAACUAGGCAAAAUGGUCCUGUAACUUCGGGAUAAAGGACGCUCUUGUGAAAGAGCCGCAGAUAAUAGGCCCAGGCGACUGUUUACCAAAAACACAUGGCUAUGCUAAUUCGCAAGAAGAUGUAUAUGGCCUGACACCUGCCCGGUGCCGGAAGGUUAAGAGGAGAGCUCAGAGGUAACUCGAAGGUUUGAAUUGAAGCCCCGGUAAACGGCGGCCGUAACUAUAACGGUCCUAAGGUAGCGAAAUUCCUUGUCGGGU